UAAACGGUGGCUAAUACCGGAUGUGCCGAAAGGUGAAAGGCUUGCUGCCUGAAGAUGAGCUCGCGUCUGAUUAGCUAGUAGGUGGGGUAAAAGCCUACCUAGGCGACCCUCAGUAGCUGGUCUGAGAGGAUGAUCAGCCACACUGGGACUGAUGAACGGCCCAGACUCCCACGGGAGGCAGCAGUGGGGAAUUAUCCGCAAUGGGCGAAAGCCUGACGGAGCAAUACCGCGUGAGGGAGGAAGGCUCUUGGGUCGUAAACCUCUGGUCUCAGGGAAGAACACAAUGACGGUACCUGAGGAAUCAGCAUCGGCUAACUCCUGACU
rnacentral:rRNA from 1 species